GAGAGGGGCAGAUUGUUCCCUAUUGUGUUGAUAUUUUUUUGGUUUUGUUUGCCUUUCAGAUUGUUCCCUUUUCUGUUUUUGUUUUUGCUUUUUUGUUUUUGGCAUGGCCAUGCCCUUUCUUCCUUCUGCUUCUACGUUUUGCAGUUUUUCUUUUUCAUUUUUCAUUCAUGGUAUUUUGUAAAUGUUUUGUGUGUGGAUGCUAAUUUUUCAAUGGUAUAUCAGUUCGACCAUGAUAGGCCUUGUUUUUUGUUUGUUCAUCCUUUUUGUUCAUUUUGUUGGCUCAGGGUUCACUACAAUCUCUGGAGUUGCCUAUGGAGUUGGCUCAGGGAGGAGUUCAAGAAGAGCUAUAAAUAGGCCAACUCUAAAGCCAAGGGUAUUGCCCAGGUGGCUGGCCUGAAGUGGAAGUGGAAUUUGAUUGUGAUUGGCGUUACACUCACCUGCAAUGGCUUUAUUUAUUUUUAGACAUGGUUCUCAAUGAUUCUUGAGUGGUUCAUUUUUAUUUAAUCAAUGUCUGUAUUUCUGAAUGAUGGUCUUGUUUAGUAUUUUAGACAUCAUGGAUGAUGCAUUCCAUCUAAAGGUGCACGUUCUGUCACAUUUAUUAGUUUGUCUGUUAAAAGAUGGUGAUUCAAUCAUUUUGAAUACUGAAUUUGUUUUGCAGUGAGGCCUGCAAGAAGGAUGUGCCUCUAGCAACUGCUGAUAUGCAUAAUUUCUAACAGGAUGGAAAAAUCUGGACUAAUUUUGAAGUCCCAAAAGCACCACAAGAGCCUAAGUGUGCAGAGGCUAAUAAACCAGGUUACCAAAGAUGGUGCUGAUAAGUGGAAGUCUUUAUCAGAUGAGGUUUGCAGCUAGGCUACCAUAUGGUCGGUAAAAUAUGUAGUUAUAUUGCAAUAUAUUGAGAAAGUUGUUGAAUUGAAGGCAGAGUAUGAGAAAGCCAUUGCUAAGUACGAAAAAAGAAUUUUAAGUGAAGGGUGUAAGUUCUACUAUAACCCACUAUCCAGCGAGUGAGUUUUAGUCGUUGCUCCAUUGAAUGGGACCAUCAGAGUUGCUGUGACGUUCAGUAGCAGUUUCACAAUUGUAGUAGCCAUUUCUGAGUUGCCCAUUUUGCUGGCUUUUACUAUCCUUCUCAACAGUGUUCAGCUCGUGCUUUCAGGCGUGCUAGAGCAUCGAGGGAAGAACCAUACUUGUGGAAGAUCAUCAUAUCAAUGCAAUGAUCUAGGACUCACUAUGUCAAAGACAACAAGCAUGCCUCUCAGAUCCAUUUAAUGCAUGAAGUUGUGAAGUGAUAUUUGGAAGAAUGUACACUUGAGUGUCUAAGAAGUUUACAAUGGAUUGUUUUUAUGUCAUGUAAUGCACCAAUAGCUGUGCAUAUGUAAUUGUAAUUGGAGUACAUUUGUACUCUUAAGCCACUUGCAUAAAGUGGCAAAUGUAAACAUUAAGUUUUUUAAAAAAUAAAAAUGUUUA